rnacentral:rRNA from 1 species
UGAAGCACGCGAAGACUUACCUGGUCUUGACAUCCACGGAAGUUUUCAGAGAUGAGAAGGUGCCUUCGGGAACCGUGAGACAGGUGCUGCAUGGCUGUCGUCAGCUCGUGUUGUGAAAUGUUGGGUUAAGUCCCGCAACGAGCGCAACCCUUAUCCUUUGUUGCCAGCGGUCCGGCCGGGAACUCAAAGGAGACUGCCAGUGAUAAACUGGAGGAAGGUGGGGAUGACGUCAAGUCAUCAUGGCCCUUACGACCAGGGCUACACACGUGCUACAAUGGCGCAUACAAAGAGAAGCGACCUCGCGAGAGCAAGCGGACCUCAUAAAGUGCGUCGUAGUCCGGAUUGGAGUCUGCAACUCGACUCCAUGAAGUCGGAAUCGCUAGUAAUCGUGGAUCAGAAUGCCACGGUGAAUAUUUUCCCCGGGCAA